rnacentral:rRNA from 1 species
UGGGGAAUAUUGCACAAUGGGCGCAAGCCUGAUGCAGCCAUGCCGCGUGUAUGAAGAAGGCCUUCGGGUUGUAAAGUACUUUCAGUCGGGAGGAAGGUGUCAAGGUUAAUAACCUUGUCGAUUGACGUUACCCGCAGAAGAAGCACCGGCUAACUCCGUGCCAGCAGCCGCGGUAAUACGGAGGGUGCAAGCGUUAAUCGGAAUUACUGGGCGUAAAGCGCACGCAGGCGGUUGAUUGAGUCAGAUGUGAAAUCCCCGGGCUUAACCCGGGAAUUGCAUCUGAUACUGGUCAGCUAGAGUCUUGUAGAGGGGGGUAGAAUUCCAUGUGUAGCGGUGAAAUGCGUAGAGAUGUGGAGGAAUACCGGUGGCGAAGGCGGCCCCCUGGACAAAGACUGACGCUCAGGUGCGAAAGCGUGGGGAGCAAACAGG